rnacentral:rRNA from 1 species
UGGUGCCAGCAGCCGCGGUAAUUCCAGCUCCAAUAGCGUAUAUUAAAGUUGUUGCAGUUAAAAAGCUCGUAGUUGAAUUUCGGGGUUAGUAAGUUGGUCAUGCCUCUGGUAUGCACUGGCUUUACUGAUUCCCCCUUCUUGAUGAACUGUAAUGUCAUUAAUUUGGUGUUGCAGGGAAUCAGGACUGUUACUUUGAAAAAAUUAGAGUGUUUAAAGCAGGCAUAAGCUUGAAUACAUUAGCAUGGAAUAAUGAAAUAGGACGUUUGAUCCUAUUUUGUUGGUUUCUAGGAUUGACGUAAUGAUUAAUAGGGAUAGUUGGGGGCAUUAGUAUUCAAUUGUCAGAGGUGAAAUUCUUGGAUUUAUUGAAGACUAACUACUGCGAAAGCAUUUGCCAAGGAUGUUUUCAUUAAUCAAGAACGAAAGUUAGGGGAUCGAAGACGAUCAGAUACCGUCGUAGUCUUAACCAUAAACUAUGCCGACUAGGGA